rnacentral:ribozyme from 1 species
UGCCCAGCAACUCCUAUCCCUACCUCCUCGCGGUACUUGCUAGGUACGAGUAACCUUAGGGAAGAUCGGGUAGCCAACCCCGGUGGGAACUCUGGUCGUAUGCUGACAGGGAAGG